UCUUCUCUCCGGGCUAUCGCGGACUGCGCUGCAGGUCGAGGAAAGUCCGGACAGCAUAGGGCAAUACACCGGCUAACGGCCGGGAAGCGGGUAACCGCUUACAGACAGUGCCACAGAAAAUGACUACCUCCAACGAGGAAAAGGUGAAAAUGUAGGGUAAGAGCCUACGGUACCCGGCAGUAAUGCCAGGUACGGGUAAACCUUGUAUGCUGAAAUGCCAUGUAUACCGGUGGUAGAGGGUUGCCCGCCCGAUGACAGCCCGACUGUCAACACCGGAGGGUAGGCAGAUAGAUCGUGCCAGUAAUGGUACGGCCAGAUAAAUGAUAGCCCUCACUUUCGGGUGAGACAGAAUCCGGCUUACAGGAGAGAAGAUUUU
rnacentral:RNase_P_RNA from 1 species